GAUCUGGCUCAGGAUGAACGCUAGCGGCAGGCUUAACACAUGCAAGUCGAGGGGCAGCGGGGAGUAGCAAUACUCCGCCGGCGACCGGCGCACGGGUGCGUAACGCGUAUGCAACCUACCUUUAACAGGGGCAUAACACUGAGAAAUUGGUACUAAUUCCCCAUAACAUUCGAGAAGGCAUCUUCUUGGGUUAAAAACUCCGGUGGUUAAAGAUGGGCAUGCGUUGUAUUAGCUAGUUGGUGAGGUAACGG
rnacentral:rRNA from 1 species